UACGUAGGUGGCAAGCGUUGUUCGGAAUUAUUGGGCGUAAAGGGCGCGUAGGCGGUUUGUUAAGUCGGUCGUGAAAGCCCGGGGCUCAACCCCGGACGUGCAUUGGAUACGACGGCGCUGGAGUCCUGAAGAGGAGGGCGGAAUUCCCGGUGUAGAGGUGAAAUUCGUAGAUAUCGGGAGGAACACCAGUGGCGAAGGCGGCUCUCUGGACAGGUACUGACGCUGAGACGCGAAAGCGUGGGUAGCAAACAGG
rnacentral:rRNA from 1 species